GACCUAAUGGUGUAAGGCUGCACACCUGCUCCUUAUAGCUCAGGAAGUAUCAGGGUAAGGCACGAGGUCCCGGUUCGAUUCCGGGUUAGGCCA